CCUGGCUGCCCACCGGCUCUCUGACCUGGACCUCGCCGUCGCUGGCCCCUGAAAUCCAUCACUUUAGUCAGCUGUUCUGUGACGCCACAACGAGGAGCCACCUGGGCUCUGCUGACCCUUCGGGAUUCGCGGCUAGCAGAGAUGUGUCCACCAAGAUCUCUUCUCUUGUCUGUAAACAACUUCACUCUCAAGGAGGCAGCUCUGGCCUCUCAGCAGGUGCGGCCUACACUGAUGUCCGUCCGGGUUUUACAUCCUUCCCCGACCUCGACAUGAGUCCCAGCCCCCUCGGGCCUCUGACUCUCAGGUGUCCUGUACGAUCUCCUGUCCUCUCCUCUCGCUCCUGGCUCCCCUCCACUGUCACACACCCACACAAUCACAGACGCACACACAUGUACACGGGCAGGCUUGGAAAUCUGCUUCACCCGACUCACCCCGCCUGCCCAAGGCCCCUCACGAUCUCCCAUUUCCUCUGCCAUCAUCCCAGACUGCAAAGCUGUGUUGUUUGUUAUUGCUGCAGGAGCUGGGGAUGAGUGACUGAAUAACCAUAGGAUUUGGUCUUGAUGGGAGAAUCCCAGAAGCCAAAUCCACGCGGUGAAUAAGCUGCUGAUCUUUCAGAGCACACAUCCGCUAGAGAUUCUUCCCAACGCUAAUAUGAAAGGUUACAACCAUAACCCAUCAUCAGGCCCAAAUAUAUUACUUACUGAAUAAAUACACAAGUUACAAGCAACA